rnacentral:rRNA from 1 species
GACGAACGCUGGCGGCGUGCCUAAUACAUGCAAGUCGAGCGAACCAAUAAGAAGCUUGCUUUUUGUUGGUUAGCGGCGGACGGGUGAGUAACACGUGGGUAACCUGCCUGUAAGACCGGGAUAACUCCGGGAAACCGGUGCUAAUACCGGAUAGAUUAUCUUUCCGCAUGGAGAGAUAAGGAAAGAUGGCUAUUGCCAUCACUUACAGAUGGGCCCGCGGCGCAUUAGCUAGUUGGUGAGGUAACGGCUCACCAAGGCGACGAUGCGUAGCCGACCUGAGAGGGUGAUCGGCCACACUGGGACUGAGACACGGCCCAGACUCCUACGGGAGGCAGCAGUAGGGAAUCUUCCGCAAUGGACGAAAGUCUGACGGAGCAACGCCGCGUGAGCGAAGAAGGUCUUCGGAUCGUAAAGCUCUGUUGUUAGGGAAGAACAAGUAUCGGAGGAAAUGCCGGUACCUUGACGGGACCUGACGAGAAAGCCACGGCGAACUACGU